rnacentral:rRNA from 1 species
AUUGAACGCUGGCGGCAUGCCUUACACAUGCAAGUCGAACGGUAACGGGCCUUCGGGUGCCGACGAGUGGCGAACGGGUGAGUAAUACAUCGGAACGUGCCCGAUCGUGGGGGAUAACGAGGCGAAAGCUUUGCUAAUACCGCAUACGAUCUACGGAUGAAAGCCGGGGACCGCAAGGCCUUGCGCGGACGGAGCGGCCGAUGGCAGAUUAGGUAGUUGGUGGGAUAAAAGCUUACCAAGCCGACGAUCUGUAGCUGGUCUGAGAGGAUGAUCAGCCACACUGGGACUGAGACACGGCCCAGACUCCUACGGGAGGCAGCAGUGGGGAAUUUUGGACAAUGGGCGCAAGCCUGAUCCAGCCAUGCCGCGUGCAGGAUGAAGGCCUUCGGGUUGUAAACUGCUUUUGUACGGAACGAAAAGCCUUCUUUUAAUACAGGAGGGUCAUGACGGUGCCGUAAGAAUAAGCACCGGCUAACUACGUG